rnacentral:lncRNA from 1 species
GGGGUGCACCAGGGCAGCAGCUACAGGGCUCUCCUCCCAAGCACCCAACGAGCAAGAUGGGUCUGAGGAUACCUGUGAGAAGUAAUUCAACACAUCUUUCACACAUGGGCCAAUUUGCUGGUCUAAGUUAAAUUGGAGUGACAAGGACAGCUGCUUAAAGAAGACGAGGUUUCACCGUGUUAGACAGGAUGGUUUCGAUCUCCUGACCUCGUGAUCUGCGUGCCUCGACCUCCCAAAGUGCUGGGAUUACAGGCUUGAGCCGCCACGUCCGGCCUCAGACCAUUUUUCUAGAGAUGCAAGCUACAGAUGACAGAGCCGAGGUCGUCUCCUCCAGGUCCCAGAGCUGCUAUGUGGCUGAGCUGCAGUUCAGAGCCAGGGUGACUCAGCUUGCAAGCCUGUGCUCCUCACCUCCGUGGCAUGCUUCUCCCAGGCUGGCACUGAAUCACCGGAAGGACUCCUUAAGACAUGGAUAGGGGAUCCACCCCAGAGGUCCUGAAUCAGCAAGUCUGGGGAGGAGACUGAGAAUUGACUUUUCUAUCAAGUUCCCCAGUGAUGCUGAUGCUGCUGGUGUGCGUACCACGUUCUGGAACCUCCGCUCCCUGCUCUAGGGCCUUCUGGGUGGAGCCCUAGAGCUGAGCUCCCAGCUGUGGGCAUGGCAGGCACUGAAGAGUGUUGCUUUAGGGUAAUGUGUUAACAGUCUAAGAAGGUGCGUGGUGAGUAGGCUGACCAUUUCUCUCUCUUAUUGAACAAAAUAUUGCUAAGCCCUGGAUUUUCUCAGCUGUAAAUCACUGAAAUCUGAAUAAAA